CAGUAAAAGGAGCCCAUGGAUGGCUUUGAUGGCUUUAAUAAGAGCGAGAGAGGAAGUGUUGUUGCAGUGCAUGUGUCAACAUCGGCGCACAUCUGGAACCUCUUUGGGAAGUGUUGUUACGAGGGAGCCUCACUUGAUCAGACACGGAGCCGGGAGGAAUGCCAUUUCGCUGCAAGGGGAAGCAAGCAAGUCCCGUGGGCUGGACAGUCGCUACGUGCAAACCUUGGAAUCAUUGCCAUAUGAAAUGUAUGCUUGCACUGGCAGAUCGGACAGACGUCUCCCUUGGCAUUUCUCAAAAGCCGGACACAUCGGUGUGUGUUGUCGAGUCGGGUCCGGCACAUUGGCUGCAGUGUCGUGCGCCCGUACAGACAAGCGGAUUCUAGAAACUGCAACCUCUUGUUCUGUUUCACGAGUUCCUGGGAAAAAAAAAAAAAAAA